rnacentral:rRNA from 1 species
CGGCAUGCCUAACACAUGCAAGUCGAACGAAGUUAAAGAGCUUGCUUUAACUAGUGGCGGACGGGUGAGUAACGCGUGAGCAACCUGCCUUUCAGUGGGGAAUAAUACUUCGAAAGGAGUACUAAUACCGCAUAACGUAUGACGGUCGCAUGACUGACAUACCAAAGAUUUAUCGCUGAGAGAUGGGCUCGCGUCCGAUUAGCUGGUUGUGGGGUAACGGCCUACCAAGGCAACGAUCGGUAGCCGGACUGAGAGGUUGAACGGCCACAUUGGGACUGAGACACGGCCCAGACUCCUACGGGAGGCAGCAGUGGGGGAUAUUGCGCAAUGGGGGGAACCCUGACGCAGCAAUGCCGCGUGGAGGAUUGAAGGUCUUCGGAUUGUAAACUCCUUUUGUCAGGGACGAAAAUGACGGUACCUGACGAAUAAGCUCCGGCUAACUACGUGCCAGCAGCUGC